AGUGAACGCUGGCGGCGUGCCUAAUACAUGCAAGUCGAACGGAGUGGCGCACGGGUGAGUAAUACAUAGCUAAUCUGCCCCUUGCUGGAGGACAACAAUUAGAAAUGAUUGCUAAUACUCCAUAGCAAGGGAUGAGACUAUAGCGUAUCAGCUCGUCGGUUGGGUAACGGCCUACCGACGCGAUGACGCGUAACUGGUCUGCGAGGAUGAUCAGUCACAUUGGAACUGAGACACGGUCGAAACUCCUACGGGAGGCAGCAGUAGCGGAUAUUGCGCAAUGGGGAAAGCCCUGACGCAGCAACGCCGCGUGGAGGAUGACACUUGUCGGAGCGUAAACUCCUUUUGUUAGGGAAGCGGUACCUAACGAGUAAGCACCGGCUAACUCCGUGCCAGCAGCCGCGGUAAUAC
rnacentral:rRNA from 1 species